UACGUAGGGGGCUAGCGUUGUCCGGAAUCAUUGGGCGUAAAGAGCGCGCAGGCGGUCGAUCAAGUCGACUGUGAAAUCUCCGGGACUUAACCCGGAAAGGUCAGCCGAUACUGCGGGGCUAGAGUGCAGAAGGGGCAACUGGAAUUCUCGGAUGUAGCGGUGAAAUGACGUAGAUAUCGAGAGGAACACCUGCGGCGAAGGCGGGUUGCUGGGCUGACA
rnacentral:rRNA from 1 species